rnacentral:tRNA from 1 species
ACAUUUGUGAUUCAGUGGUAGAAUUCUUGCCUCCCAUGCUGGAGGCCUGGGUUCAAUUCCUGGCCAAUGUA